rnacentral:misc_RNA from 1 species
GAUGAAGAACGCAGCGAAAUGCGAUACGUAAUGUGAAUUGCAGAAUUCAGUGAAUCAUCGAAUCUUUGAACGCACAUUGCGCCCCUUGGUAUUCCAUGGGGCAUGUCUGUUCGAGCGUCAUUUGUACCUUCAAGCUUUGCUUGGUGUUGGGUGUUUGUCUCGCCUUUGCGUGUAGACUCGCCUUAAAAUAAUUGGCAGCCGGCGUAUUGAUUUCGGAGCGCAGUACAUCUCGCGCUUUGCACUCAUAACGACAGCGUCCAAAAGUACAUUUUACACUCUUGACCUCGGAUCAGGUAGGGAUACCCGCUGAACUUAAGCAUAUCAAUAAGCGGAGGA